rnacentral:rRNA from 1 species
AACGAACGCUGGCGGCAUGCCUAACACAUGCAAGUCGAACGAGAUCUUCGGGUCUAGUGGCGCACGGGUGCGUAACGCGUGGGAAUCUGCCCUUUGGUUCGGAAUAACAGUUGGAAACGACUGCUAAUACCGGAUGAUGACGAAAGUCCAAAGAUUUAUCGCCAGAGGAUGAGCCCGCGUAGGAUUAGCUAGUUGGUGUGGUAAAGGCGCACCAAGGCGACGAUCCUUAGCUGGUCUGAGAGGAUGAUCAGCCACACUGGGACUGGGACACGGCCCAGACUCCUACGGGAGGCAGCAGUGGGGAAUAUUGGACAAUGGGCGAAAGCCUGAUCCAGCAAUGCCGCGUGAGUGUUGAAGGCCUUAGGGUUGUAAAGCUCUUUUACCCGGGAUGAUAAUGACAGUACCGGGAGAAUAAGCUCCGGCUAACUCCGUGCCAGCAGCCGCGGUAACAC